GAUGAACGCUGGCGGCGUGCCUAAUACAUGCAAGUCGAGCGAACAGACGAGGAGCUUGCUCCUCUGACGUUAGCGGCGGACGGGUGAGUAACACGUGGAUAACCUACCUAUAAGACUGGGAUAACUUCGGGAAACCGGAGCUAAUACCGGAUAAUAUAUUGAACCGCAUGGUUCAAUAGUGAAAGACGGUUUUGCUGUCACUUAUAGAUGGAUCCGCGCCGCAUUAGCUAGUUGGUAAGGUAACGGGUUACCAAGGCAACGAUGCGUAGCCGACCUGAGAGGGUGAUCGGCCACACUGGAGCUGAGACACGGUCCAGACGCCUACGGGAGGCAGCAGUAGGGAAUCUUCCGCAAUGGGCGAAAGCCUGACGGAGCAACGCCGCGUGAGUGAUGAAGGUCUUCGGAUCGUAAAACUCUGUUAUGAGGGAAGAACAAAUGUGUAAGUAACUAUGCACGUCUUGACGGUACCUAAUCAGAAAGCCACGGCUAACUACGUG
rnacentral:rRNA from 1 species